AUGUCAGCUAAGGCCCAUAAUUGUAAUUAUCCUACUGUUAGAUCUAUUAAUUAUUUAAUAAUUAGUAGGCCUAAUUAUAGGAAUUAGGUCUGAUACAUUAAGUCCUAUACAUUGGUCGUAGAGUAAUACUAUUGGGCUAGUAAUUAUAUACAAUAUCUAUACAAGCCUACUUAUCGUUAAUUUGGAAGUCUUUGCAUUGACCUUAGUUUUCAGAUGUAGCAGCCUAAUUUUUAUCAGAUUAUACCAUAAAAUCAAAAGUAGACUUGUAGAUCUUUUUAAAACAAGGCAUGAAAUAUUAAUUUAAAUAAUAUAAAUUAAACAAAUAGCCUAAAUAACAACUACACAAAGUUAAAGUCAUAAUAACUUUUUAUAAAGGUUCAUCCAAAAAAAAGGGAAGAUCUGAUUUUUACCAGUAAUAAGACUACAGCAUACUAAAUGACACAAGAUGUUCUUUCUCUAUUACCUCUUACAUUUGACAUAAAAGUAGGAAAAGGUUUAACAGUCUAUGCCUACAACAUAGAUCUCCAGGACUAAAAGUACACAAAAUGGCAAUCAGUAUAUCACAAGUGUAAUAACACAUGCAUCUAAUCUGCUUCAGUGGCGAGAACUGGGUGAAUCCUCUCAAACAUUAAUCAGGAACUAGGCAUACCUAAUGAGCGUCAAGCUGAUACAGUAGAUGUACAGAAAAGUUUAUACACAAGGAAGUGAAAAGUGAUGUAAAAGGCAACUAAUACUUCCAUCUACCAUAGUUAAACAAGAAUCUGCAAAUGGUGAUAAUUGCAAUAAUCUUGAUAUAUUAAUGUUUGGCUUUAUAAUUAUAUGCAAUUGUUUCAUAAAUAAAUUAUUUCUCAAAAUU